rnacentral:rRNA from 1 species
CCUACGGGUGGCUGCAGUGGGGAAUAUUGCGCAAUGGACGCAACUCUGGCGCAGCAACGCCGCGUGAAUGAAGAAGGCUUUCGGGUUGUAAACUUCUUUUAAGGGGGAAGAGCAGAAGACGGUACCCCUUGAAUAAGCCACGGCUAACUACGUGCCAGCAGCCGCGGUAAUACGGAGGAUGCGAGCGUUAUCCGGAGUUAUUGGGUAUAAAGGGGGCGUAGGCUGAGGUUCAAGUCAGCGGUAAAAUUGCGGGGCUCAACCCCGUCGUGCCGUUGAAACUGACGCCCUUGAGUGAGUGAGAAGUAAGCGGAAUGCGUGGUGUAGCGGUGAAAUGCAUAGAUAUCACGGAGAAAGCCGCGUGCGAAGGCAGCUUACCGGCGCUCAACUGCCGCUGAGGCACGAAAGUGCGGGUAUCGAACAGGAUUAGAUACCCGGUAGUC